CUUUCACGUCAGCGAUGAAUGGGGCUGUAAUCGCAUCUCAAUCGCAGAUCUGUUACCAGCCACUCACCUUGGCAAUGGAGGCUCGCGGGUGGUGAGCCUUCGUCUUAGCGUUCUCCUCAUAGAGAAGGCAGACUCCCAGCUGAAGGUGGAUCCACGCCACGGCGCCCGUCCGGGCGUUUCAAUCGGGAGAGACCAGUCAGAUAAAGAAAAUAUCAUUAUUUAGCAUGUGAUUAUAAAGUCUUACAGGGAAAUACUGAUUCACGAGACAUAAACUAUGGGUUCAGGCAUUCAGGAGGAUGAUGUUCUCGACUGAACUCACGCUACAGCUCCACGGAGCCUCCAGGUUGGAGAUUUUGCCGUUGCCAUCUUGUUUUACCAUAUCUGGAGGACCUGUCAAUCACGGUUCAAUCAGCGCGAACCGCCUGCAGGAAGCAUCGGCCAUCGAAGAACAAACUCACGCACAGCGGAACACGAUUGCAUUAUCGCGGGUUCACCGACGAGAACGGACAUUGUUCAUUAUACAACGCGAACACUGGAAGACAGAAGAGCGUCCACAACAUCGUCCAUCUCUCAUCAUUGUGUCGCAUUUGGGACCUAAAGAGAGGAUCCGUGUAAAACGGGGAACAGUGAGAUCCCUUCGGAGGCCCGUUGAGCCGUAACGAGCGUCUCAUCAGGCCUCUGGAAUGCUCCACCCGGCUGCACUCACGUCACUCCGUUAGACGUCCACGAUCUGAGACAAGUCGCUGCCCAUCUGACGUGUGCUGGCUCAUCAACGUCAAUCUUUCUGCCUCUUUAAACACGUGACCCAAAGUCAACGAGAGACUCAUGUGGGUGCUUUGAGUCAGACGUGAAGCUCUGUGAUUGUCAGGCUGCUUCAUUCGGCGUGACUAGAGUUUCUGCAUCAGAGAACUCAAAAAUGUCUCUUUUAACUCCCACGAGUCAUAAAAAAUCAUUUCUAUGAUCGUUUAAGUAACAGAAAUUCGAAAAGGCUGGAAUCUGUAACCAACUUUUUUAGGAAAAACGGUGAGCAGGUGGGGAGGAAGGAGUCAAACACGGGACCUGCAGCCAGGUGUCUCAGGUGAAACCAACAAUGUCUCAUCUAAGUCGGUUAGUUUUGCCUCAUUUCAAAUAUUCACUAAUUCCAAGUUACAAAACAAAUGUUUCUGAUUGGUUUCAUCACAGUUAACAUGAGAUAUGAAAAAGAUAAAAACCUCUCGGCUAGUGUCAACACCUUGUCUCCAGAUGUUCAUCACUCAUUAUCGCUUCUUCUACUGUCGGUUCUACCUGAGUAGCUUCAGCCUGAAAGGAAGAUGAUUCCUUUAUAAUUGUGAGGUGACGGCAUGAAAAGCUAUGCGAGCUGAAAUUGAACCUUGAUCAUAUAGGUGCAUUUCAUAACUUGAAUUGGCAGUUAAAGAUUGAACGGUUGAUUAAAAUCCAUUUCAUUCAGUUGAAUGUUGAAAGUUUAGGAGCAAUUGUUACUUUAAUGUUAUAAGUAUGUGGGUUUAUUAUACACACAUAUAUGUAUGUAUAUCUAUCUAUAUAA
ensembl:lncRNA